rnacentral:sRNA from 1 species
UUUGCGUUAGGGAUUGAAGUGGAAAUCCUUUUUAUUGUCAGUUCGAGUGAAUUUGUGAAGAAUGAACAAAUUUGUAUCGAGAACAAAAUAAAAAGAUUGCAACGUAAAACCCGACCUUUU